UGUGUGCCCACUCAAUAGCAAGCCCAAAGCAUGCAUCCCAGAACAGGAACGGGGCCCUGCCGGUUAUUCCGAGUGACUUCAAAUACCAUUUGGAUCCACUGGGCUGGAGCACCCCUCCUUCACAUUACUUGCGAUUUUGUUUUGGUUUUUAUUUUUAACUAGGGAAGGUAUACGAACAGCAAAAGGGAUUACCGAGACGAGCCGAACCUACUCUCUGUUUUCUAAACAGUCAAUUUGAGCAUAAAUUCAUAGAGCAGGCCCUUGGUAUUUCUGGGUUUGACAUUUGUCAUCUUAACUGUGUGUAGUUUCAAUUAUUCAAGAACAGCACUGAAGAAUUGACUGGAAUAAUAAUAGUCAACAUUUAUUCAGCGCAUACUAGGUGCCAGGUGAAUAUGAUAUGCCCAACUUACAGGAAUUACCUCGUUUCAUCUCUGCAUCACACCUUGAAGCUGCAGUCAGAUGUCAGCCAGACAGUGGUCAUCUGAAGGCACGACUUCCAAGAUGGCGCACUUACUGGCCUGGAAGUCAUUGCUGUCAGCCAGGAGCCCAGGUGACCAGAGCACGUACAUGUGACCUCCCCAGCAUGGCAGUCUCAGGUA
rnacentral:lncRNA from 10 species